UACAGAGACUGCAAGCGUUAUUCGGAUUCACUGGGCGUAAAGGGUGCGCAGGUGGCCAGGUGUGUGAGGCGUGAAAGCCCGGGGCUUAACCCCGGAAUUGCACCUCAAACUACUUGGCUAGAGCAUUGGAGAGGGGAGCAGAAUUCACGGUGUAGCAGUGAAAUGCGUAGAUAUCGUGAGGAAUACCAGAGGCGAAGGCGGCUCCCUGGACAAUUGCUGACACUCAGGCACGAAAGCGUGGGGAGCAAAAGGG
rnacentral:rRNA from 1 species